AUUGAACGCUGGCGGCAGGCCUAACACAUGCAAGUCGAGCGGAUGACGGGAGCUUGCUCCUCGAUUCAGCGGCGGACGGGUGAGUAAUACCUAGGAAUCUGCCUGAUAGUGGGGGACAACGUUUCGAAAGGAACGCUAAUACCGCAUACGUCCUACGGGAGAAAGCAGGGGACCUUCGGGCCUUGCGCUAUCAGAUGAGCCUAGGUCGGAUUAGCUAGUUGGUGAGGUACUGGCUCACCAAGGCGACGAUCCGUAACUGGUCUGAGAGGAUGAUCAGUCACACUGGAACUGAGACACGGUCCAGACUCCUACGGGAGGCAGCAGUGGGGAAUAUUGGACAAUGGGCGAAAGCCUGAUCCAGCCAUGCCGCGUGUGUGAAGAAGGUCUUCGGAUUGUAAAGCACUUUAAGUUGGGAGGAAGGGCAGUAAGCUAACACCUUGCUGUUUUGACGUUACCGACAGAAUAAGCACCGGCUAACUCUGUGCCAGCAGCCGCGGUAACAC
rnacentral:rRNA from 1 species